CCCCCUAGACGUUCUGGGCUGCACGCGCGCUACAAUAAUACGCACAGCGAGUAUCACCGAGCUCGAAAGGGCAAGGUAAACAAUAGAAAAGGUACUGUAAUGGUUAUAGAUCCUUGUAAUUAUUGAUCUUCAACGAGGAAUUCCUAGUAAGUAUGUGUCAUCAUCACGCACUGAUUACGUCCCUGCCCUUUGUACACACCGCCCGUCGCUCCUACCGAUUGAGUGAGCCGAUGAAACUGCCGGAUGUGGACUAUUCAUAGUCUGCAGAAGAUAUUUGAAUCGUAGCGCUUAGAGGAAGGAGAAGUCGUAACA
rnacentral:rRNA from 1 species